UAGUCAUAUGCUUGUCUCAAAAAUUAACCCAUGCAUGUGCAAGUACAUACCUUAUUAAGGUGAAACCGCAAAAAGCUCAUUAAAUCAUUUACGGUUCAUUGAAUAUUAAUUUUUUACAUGGAUAACUGUGGUAAAUCUAAAGCUAAUACGUGCACAAAAGCUUUGACCUUUUAGGAAAAAGCGCAUUUAUUAAACCAAAACCAAGGGUCCUUGUGACCUCAAACUUGGUGACUCUGAAUAACUGACCUAAUCGCAUGGCCUAUGCGCCGGCAAUAUAUCCUUAAAGCGUCUGCCUUAUCAACUGUAAAUGGUAGGUUAUGUGCCUACCAUGGUUGUAACAGGUGACGGGAAAUCAGGGUUCGAUUCCGGAAAGGGAGCCUGAAAAACGGCUACCACAUCCAAGGAAGGCAGCAGGCACGCAAAUUACCCACUCUCAAAACAAGGAGGUAGUGACGAAAAAUAACAAUACGGGACUAUUAAUAGGCCCCGUAAUUGGAAUGAGUACAAUAUAAAUCCUUUAACAAGGAUCUAUUGA
rnacentral:rRNA from 1 species